CGGACACGCACUGCUUGAGGCCGGAGGCCCGCUGCCCUGGCAGCCCCCUGCGCUGGCUGGCCCUUCCCCCGAGCCCUUCUUUCCCGGGGGGGGGGCUCUCCUGCCAAGGCUGGGAUAGAGGAGACCCCAAGGUCCCCGCAGCCGACACCGAGGGCCCUUUAGGGCCGGGCACUGUGUGAGCCUGCAGAGAAGUGUGGGAAGAGUCUAAAGACCCUAGUGCCUGCCUUGGUGUAACUAAGCCCCUGGCCAAGGUGAACCUCUUAGAAAGGGUUUGGAAGCAAAGCCAGUUGGUGAGUCAGCCCUCUUUCUGCCCAGUGGACUCUUCUUUGAUGGAAGAUCCACCAUCCUCCUGCCACCCAGCCCAUCUCCCCACGACACAACAGGAUAUCCUAGGAUUUAUGAAAGCCUGGCAAUCACCCCCUUGCUGGCAAGGAACCCAGAAUCUUGGAGGACCCUCGUUGUUGGUGUAUGGUACCUUGUAUCUCGGGAGUCUGUGAUCCUUUGAGACUCAACAAGUCAAUCGACAGUGUCUUUUUUUUUUAAUUUUUAAGAAAUUUUAUUUAUUCAUGAGAGACAGAGAGGGGCAGAGACACAGGCAGAGUGAGAAGCAGGCUCCAUGCAGGGAGCCUGACGUGGGACUCGGUCUCGGGACCCGGGGUCACACCCUGAGCUGGGGGCAGACCCUCAACCGCUGAGCCACCCAGGAGUCCCAAUCUACAGUAGUCUUGACCAGCGGUUGUCCAGGCACUUUUGGAAAUCAUUUGAGGAUCAUUUGUUUGAGAUCCGCUUCUAGUCAAUGAGCUAUGGUGGCAAAUGUCCUGAAGGGCUUCCUAAUUCCUAGUAAGAGAUCCGUGG
rnacentral:lncRNA from 12 species